rnacentral:lncRNA from 1 species
CUAUUAGAGCUUUAUUUUGUUGCUUUAAAGGUGUCAUAUUUCCUUGAUUCUUUGUAUAUAUAUAUUUUUGAAGACUUGCGCUGCUAUCUUCACAUUUGAAGAAGCGGUCACCUCCUUUAGUCUUACUUGUUUCUUAUUAAAAUUUUUUUAAUGUUUUUUUUUAAGAGAUGGGAUCUCACUAUGUUGCCCAGGGUGGUCUCAAACUCCUGGCCUCAAGUGAUCCUCCCACCUCAGCCUCCCAAAGUGCUGAGAUUACAGGUGUAAGCUACCAUGCCUGGCUGUCCCCCAGUCUUUGUUGACUGGCUUUGGGAGAGAAAGACCUUCAUCAGUCAUCCUAGCUAAGGAUUUGAGGGAUCGCUCAGAUCUUUUCUGUAGAUACACCCACUCUACUCCUGUUGCUCCCUCUUAGGGAGAGAAGUCUUAGGUUGUAAGCUCCUCUCAAUCCUCCAAAGCUGGGUCUACACUGAGCACCUCCCAUUUUCCCUAAUGCAGUGCUCUGAAGCAUUCAAGGUUGGGCACCUUCUCCCAGUCCAGCAGAGUCAAGCCGGCUGCUCAGAUUUGCAUCUGCCGUUGAGAUCUGUGUACUGUUUGGGAGGAGGGUGCAUGAGACACCAUAUGCUCAGGGGUACGUGGAGUGCUGGGGGCAUGGAUCAGUUGGUUGGGGGGCCCACAGGCAAGUUGUUCUGUGGGUUCAUGGGCGGGCCUCCUGGUGGAGUGUUAGCUGGUUAGUGGGAUCCAUGGCUGGCUGUUGGUUGCUAGGCAUGUCCUUCCCUUCUCCUAGCAGUCCCCAGGUGACUCAGCCAUGCUGAUUCCUCAGUGUUCUGGGGAGAGACACAGGUGGGCUAUUGGGCAGCAUCCUAUAAGGUUGGGGAAGCUGGUGCUCACUCAGCACUCAGUUUCCCCUGUGGGAGAAACCACAGGCCCAGGGGGGCCUCAUUGGAGGAGCACUAGCACAGGUAAACUGAACCUUCUUAGCCUCUUCGGUGUGCUCUCUUUGCCCUGUGGGGUGCUAGAACCUCUCAGUGUUUCUGUGGGGGCAUGAGGGCUGGAACCUCCUAUUCUGUCACCUUCCUGGCCUCUUCCUACAAUUAUUUUUAUGCUCAAAUUGCCCCCGAUUUGGACAGGGGGAGAGCCUUCAGGCUGCUCCUCCAGCCCUCUCACAUGUCCCCAACGUUGUUCAGCAUUUCCUUAUUUUCCAGCACUAGACAUUCUAAGGCUCACCCUGUACUCUCUCUGCUCUUCCCUGGAAAUAGUCAUUUCUCCAAAGAGUUCUGUUCCCUUGGAAUAGAGAAUGGUAUUUACAAACCAAGAAAUGGAUUUCAGGUGUGCCAGUUGUUUCUGGGGUGGCAUUGCUUCUAGGCCCCUUCGGUGGACAGAGCUGGGAAAGAAACUGUGUGUAUCAUAUAUAUCUGCACACGUAAGCUGUGUGUGUAUCAUAUAUAAUACAUCUGCACAUAUAAAUUGUGUAUAAUACAUCUGCACAUAUAAACUGUAUCAUAUAUAAUACAUCUGCACAUAUAAACUAUCAUAUCUGCACAUAUAAACUAUCAUAUCUGCACAUAUAAACUAUCAUAUAUCUGCACAUAUAAACUGUAUCAUAUAUAAUACAUCUGCACAUAUAAACUGUAUCAUAAUACAUCUGCACAUAUAAACUGUCAUGUAUAUCUGCACAUAUAAACUGUAUCAUAUAUAUUUGCACAUAUAAACUGUGUGUAUCAUAUAAUACAUCUGCACAUAUAAACUAUCAUAUAUAAUACAUCUGCACAUAGAAACUGUGUAUCAUAUAUCUGCACAUAUAAGCUGUGUGUGUAUCAUAUAUAUCUGCACAUAUAAACUGUGUGUAUCAUAUAUAAUACAUCUGCACAUAUAAAUGUGUGUAUCAUAUAUAUCCACACAUAUAAACUGUGUGUGUAUCAUAUAUCUACACAUAUAAACUGUGUGUAUCAUAUAUAAUACAUCUGCACAUAUAAACUGUGUGUAUCAUAUAUAUCCGCACAUAUAAACUGUGUGUGUAUCAUAUAUAUCUGCACAUAUAAACUGUGUGUGUAUCAUAUAUAAUACAUCUGCACACAUGCUUCUCUGUAUUGAAAACCAAAUUGUCACGGACCACUCCCAUUCUCACGCAGCAUUUAGGGCUGUGGCUAGCCUUUCCCAGCUGUAAGAAACCUGUCUUUCAGCAUGAUAAACACAUUUACUUAUUUGCUCAGUCCUCUAAUAUGCAGAAAGUAGUUUUAGAAUUGCCAAAACCAUACAACUUGGAAAAACAAGCAUGAUUACUUCAAGAUGUGUUUGUAGCUCCUUCUGUCCUGGCAUUGGACGUGGAGAGAAAGCACAGACUGUUCCAAGUUUCAUUUUUCCCCUUCUCUGAAACGCAGAGAGCGUUGUUUGUUUCUGUUUGUAUUUCAUUUGGGUCCUCCCUCUAGCCUUAUUCAUAAAUUUGUAAAUGAUCUUUAACAAUCUGUUAUAUUUAUGAUGUUUUACUGCGUGCUGCCUGUGAAAAUGUUUCCUUCUUCUGACACGUUCCAGAACAACUAGGCUUUUAAAUUCCAAAUAUUCCUGUUUCACAAUAAACCAGAUGAGGGCCUCUGUUGUGCCACAGCUUUUGGAAUGUGGUUUAUUACCAAUAGAAGUGGCUGCGUGGCUUGUUAUGGUUUCAAUUACACGUGAGUAACAACCGGGGCCCUUCUGUGUCAGGUGCUGCUGAUCAAGGCUGGCUAAUGGGGACCUCGCUGUCCAGAACGGGCGUUUCCCAUGGCCCGGCCCAGCUGUUUACCACUUCUGUCUACCAUUUCAGAGGGGCUUUGCGGAGAUUAAAUGAGGUGAAGCGCUCUGAGAACCUCAGUCCUAAAGAAUAGCAGUUAUACUGGUUUUUGUAUUAUAUUUAUAUAUUCUUCUUGUUAAUAUACUGGUUUUAAUGUUCAUCGUUCUCUUGGGAUCCCAUGACAGUGAGCCUGGUGUACCUGAGGUCUGGGAUACUCACACCUCUCCCCAGUCCCAUGCUCCCCACUGUGGCAGUGCCUGUCAGGGACCCUGCUGACCCCAGGAAGCCUCGGUGUCCCCAGCGCUGGCUCUGCUCACACAGGCAGCAGGCUUAGUGUUCUCUGGCCUGGCUGCACUGACUGGACCAGGGACAGGGGAAGGGCCCCAAAGCACCCUGUUCCAGGCAGCCGGCCAGUCGUGGCCGAGGAGCUCCAUUCAACAGUGGCACCCAGAGGGGCCAGGGUCUCAUAAAGCUGGUCAGACGCCCCCUCUGGGUAGGGGUGUAGGAAGCGGCUGUGCAGCCGGGUCCCAGGUAGGGAGGCAUAGAGUGAAGGCUGUGAGCAGGAGCCCUGGGGCGGAGGGCCAGGAGAAGGCUGGGCACAGGUCCAUCGGUGGCAGCUGGGUGGGCAGAGCAGAGAGGCUGCAUCUGCACGACGGCAGGGCCCUGGUGUGGGAACAGCAGACGGGGCCCCUGGGUGCGGCGCCUCCUUCCCACAUCCCUGCUGCUCCUGCAUCUGCUGCUGGAGAAGACCACGACGUGCUCAGACCCCGGCACUGGAGAACUCCAGAUGUGGUGAGGGCUGCACGUUAGCUGCAUACGCACAUCUGGAAGGUGAGGCAGACGUGCCCACCGCCUCCAUGCCUGGCCCACAGUUGUGGGCAUGCAGAGCUCCUCUGUGGCAGGCCCAGGCUGCACCAGCUGCCUGGAGAGGCACUGGGGGCGGGGCCUCACUUGAGGGGCAGAUUCUCCCACCCAGCCAGUCCAGGCCCAGCGGCUGGAGCAUCCCGUCCAGCAAAUUGUCCUGCAAGUUGCCCUGGAGACCCAGCGUCUCUCAUCACGUCUCACUCCCCUGCCAGAUGCCUCUGCGGCAAUAACGAGAGUGGCUCUGCCUUCUGCACUGAAUGCCGACAGGUGACCAGAACAUGACACUGGGGUUAUGCAGUGCCCUGGUUGAUAUUCUAGUUCAUCAGGGAGCUUCUGGAAUGAUUUUUUUUUUCUUUUUUUUUUUUUUUUGAGACAGAGUCUCUCUCUGUCGCCCAGGCUGGAGUGCAAUGGAGCAAUCUUGGCUCACCACAACCUCUGCCUCCGGGGUUCAAGUGAUUCUCCUGUCUGAGCCUCCUGAGUAGCUGGGAUUACAGGUGUCCACCACUAUCACUCAGUUAAUUUUUAUAUUUUUAGUAGAGAUGGGGUUUCACCAUGUUGCCUGGGCUGGUCUCAAACUCCUGACCUCAGGUGAUCUGCCUCCUCAGCCUCCCAAAGUGCUGGGAUUACAGGCAUGAGCCACCUCACCCAGCCAACUUUCUUUUGCUUCACUUUUCCUCUGGUUGCCCCAUCUUUAUUGUCAAGUCCUGUUAAGAGGAACAACAUUAAAAUGAGAGCUUUCAUGGCAAAAAGGUUGCUGUGGGUUGAGCUUGCAAUGUUAGCUGCGUGUUAGGAUUCAGCUGACAUCUGUCUCUGGAGUCUCGCCCUUUCUGUAAUUCGCUUUUGACUGUAAUAAAUGUUGUACAGGCCAGGUGCAGUGACUCACACCUGUAAUCCCAGCACUUUGCAAGGCCAAGGCAGGUGGACCACGAGGUCAGGAGAUCGAGAUCAUCCUGGCUAACACGGUGAAACCCCGUCUCCACUGAAAAUACAGAAAAUUAGCUGGGUGUGGUGGCACCUGCCUGUGGUCCCAGCUAUU